UUGGUGGCCUUCGGGAACGUCUGACACAGGUGCUGCAUGGCUGCCGUCAGCUCGUGUCGUGAGAUGUUGGGUUAAGUCCGUAACGAGCGCAACCCUUGUCCUUAGUUACCAGCACGUUAUGGUGGGCGACUCUAAGGAGGGCUGCCGGUGACAAACCGGAGGAAGGUGGGGAUGACGUCAAGUCAUCAUGGCCCUUACGGCCUGGGCUACACACGUGCUACAAUGGUCGGUACAAAGGGUUGCCAAGCCGCGAGGUGGAGCUAAUCCCAUAAAACCGAUCGUAGUCCGGAUCGCAGUCUGCAACUCGACUGCGUGAAGUCGGAAUCGCUAGUAAUCGUGAAUCAGAAUGUCACGGUGAAUACGUUCCCGGGCCUU
rnacentral:rRNA from 1 species